UACCAGCACCCCGAGUUGUCGGGACGUUUAUUGGGCCUAAAGCAUCCGUAGCCGGUUCUACAAGUCUUCCGUUAAAUCCAGCUGCUUAACAGAUGGGCUGCGGAAGAUACUAUGGAGCUAGGAGGCGGGAGAGGCAAGCGGUACUCGAUGGGUAGGGGUAAAAUCCGUUGAUCCAUUGAAGACCACCAGUGGCGAAGGCGGCUUGCCAGAACGCGCUCGACGGUGAGGGAUGAAAGCUGGGGGAGCAAACCGG
rnacentral:rRNA from 1 species